UUUUUUUUAAUCAUGAUCGUCCUUUUGUUUUCAAUUUUCAUCACCCGAGUCCAAAUCCUCCAAUUAUGACGUCACAAACUGAGUUGGCCCCGACAUGAGGACCCACUUUGCAUACUUUGAACCAUUUAAAAGGGCAUAAUGGACAUUUAAACCCAAUAAUCUCAAUAAAUAAAUUAAUAAAUAAUAAAUUCCAUAAUAUAUGGGUCUUGGAUCAGAUCGACGUUUUCUGUCGCCGCUCUUCUUCUCCCCUGCCGACGAUCAACUUCUUCUCUUCUCUCCUACACCUAAAAAUUGUUGAAAUCUUGUUCUCUUAUCCAGGAGCAGGACCAUCCGAUUUGUGUGGUUGGAAUCGUUGUCAGCGGAAACGAUGUAGCAGAGAAGUCACAGCAGAGACGACGCGGAGGAGUUGGUUUCCAACGAGCUGGGCAUGGGCCAAGCCCUGUUCGGUGAGCGGGAUUUUGUUGUCCGGGGUGGUAGUGUAGGCGGCCAUGGUUGUACAGGCAGUACAGCAAGAAGACGAAGACGAAUAAGAUGAAGAUGGUCUCAGAUUCAUAUUCGUCUUCCUCUCCACCACUCUUAGAUUCGAGCAACCCCAAUUGACCCAGACUGACGAUGAUGCUCGCCUCGAAAAUCCCAACAACUCCCCCAAUCAAUUUUUCAAGGUUUGCUCAGCUAUGGAAUCUGGAUUAUGGACUUUUGUGGACAUGGCCAGUGACUGAGUUGAGUUGUCGGGGUGGGGCGUGUACAGCGCGUUGCUUCUUGGAGGUAGAGGAGAAAUCUUGUUUUAAUGGUGAAGGCGAAUUGAAUUCUGGUUUGAUGAUUUGGGUGGCGAAGGUGAAGUGAAAUCUGGUUUUGAUGGUUUGGGUGGUGGUGGGGAUGCCUCUGGAGAGUACAGAUAGUGGGUUUGGGGAGAUUGGGAGAUGAUAGAGAGAGUGUAGUCGGAGACUGAUUUUGAUGGUGAAGAGCAGGGGCGGAGCCACAUAUAGGCCAGCUUGGGCACUUGCCUAGAUUGAGUUUUUCUUGUCUACCUUGAUUUAUAUAUGUUGGCUGAAGGAAGCUACCUAAAACAUAGCAGAAAAGGGCAAAACCAGAUGAAUCUUGCCUUACCUAGGCUGAGUUUUUCUUGUUUGCCUUGAAUCUUGCCUUACCUAAGAAACUUUUCUGGAUCCGCCACUGGUGAAGAGGAUUGAGAGCGGGAAGUGAGGUAAGAGAGGAAAGGAUGGUUGGGUUGCGCUCAUGGUGGCGGUUGAGCGAAGCUGCGAAGGGAUCUAGGUUUUUGGGGUUAGAGAGAAGGUUGGGGGAUUUAGGAGAGUAGGAGAGAGGAGAGGAGGGUAGUUUGGACAUUUUGUCCAAAUUAAAGGUCAAAGUCUGCAAAGUGGGCCCUUAUGUCGGGGCCAACUCAAUUUGUGACGUCACAAUUGGAGGAUUUGGACGCAGAUGAUGAAAAUUGAAAGCACAGGGAUGAUCGUGAUUAAAAAAAUAGAUCAUAGACCAAAUUGAUGUUUGCCCCAAAGCUGGAGGGGACAAACUAAAUUUAGUCUUUUUGCAUUUAAGAGUUUUCCCUCUAUAGUCUCUUAUUAAAAAUAGUUAAAAUUUUUGGCA